AUUCAUAGCUACCCAGCACACGCCAUUGCUAAUUUUGCUUUUUUCAUUAGGUACUGUUAUCAUAAAAUAGUUAUAAUUGUUGAAUUAAAAUAAACUUUUUCCAGGCCUUCCCGAAACCACUGCGAGAUAUUCGCGGCAGUUAGAGGAAUGCUGGUCUAUGCAAUUCACAAUGUACAAGUGGAUAAUAAGGCUCAUGAGAAGUGAUCGAAUUUAUAUUCUCUUAAAAUCCUUGAAAUAUGAUGUUUUUAUGUCGUUUAAAAUAGGUAAGAUAUUAUCUUAAUAUUCU